GACGAACGCUGGCGGCGUGCUUAACACAUGCAAGUCGAACGGUGAAGCGCCUUCCUUUUUGGUGGGUGUGGAUGAGUGGCGAACGGGUGAGUAACACGUGAGUAACCUGCCCCCUUCUUCUGGAUAACCGCAUGAAAGUGUGGCUAAUACGGGAUAUUCUGGGUCUGUCGCAUGAUGGGUCUGGGAAAGAUAUUGUUUCGGUGGGGAUGGGCUCGCGGCCUAUCAGCUUGUUGGUGGGGUGAUGGCCUACCAAGGCGGUGACGGGUAGCCGGCCUGAGAGGGUGGACGGUCACACUGGGACUGAGACACGGCCCAGACUCCUACGAGAGGCAGCAGUGGGGAAUAUUGCACAAUGGGCGCAAGCCUGAUGCAGCGACGCCGCGUGAGGGAUGGAGGCCUUCGGGUUGUGAACCUCUUUCGCCAGUGAAGCAGGCCUGCCUCGUUUGUGGGUGGGUUGACGGUAGCUGGAUAAGAAGCGCCGGCUAACUACGUG
rnacentral:rRNA from 1 species